rnacentral:lncRNA from 1 species
CGGUUAACAAAAACAAAACAACAAAAAAGCGUAUAGUAAAGAAUACAAUUACAAUACAAUUGUUAAUUACAAUACGUAUGUACGUAAUUACAAUGCGUACAAUUACGUAAUUACAAUACGUACAAUUGUUCUUUAUUAGAUAGUUAUAGAUAAUAAUAUAGAUAGUUAUAGAUAAUAAUAUAGAUAUUACAAAAGAAAAAAAAGGAUGAAAUGUUGAUAAUAUAAAAAAAGAUUAUUCAUAUGAUUCAGCGGAAGAAAAAGAGUUUAUUAAUAAAAAUGGUUUAUUUUUACAAGAAGUUUAUUUUUUAAUAAACAAUUUAGCGUAUAGAUAUGUCGAAUAUCCAGAAGAUAGGAAAAUACUUGUAGAAACACUUUUUUGGGAAAAAGUUUACAAAGUUUACAAAACUUGUAUUGUUAUUUUAUUAUUAUAAACUAUUUUGAACAAAAAGAAUAUGUUUGCGUUAAAUUAAUAAAGGAAAUGAUAAAGAAACUUAGAUUAUAGGAUCGUCUCCGCUUUAUUUAAAUAAAGAUAAAAAACAUUGUUAUGAGAAAAUAAGAAAUGUAAUUUUUUAUGCAGCAAAAUAUUUAUUGUAAAUAAAAAAUAAUACAAAUAUAAAAAGUUUUUUUUCUUAAUAUUUUCCUUGCGUUGGUUUCUGGUCUUUGCACGCUUCUUCAUAACUAGGUGAAUCUGAUUUUGCCAUUCUGAUCCAUUCUCAUUGGCUCUUCAAGUCACAUGCUCAUUUUGAAGCAAUCCCAUUGGUCAGCUGGAACGAAAAUUUCACCAAAAAAAUGCUGGAACGCAAAAAGAGACAGGAAUAGGAUAUCGUAUCAUCAAAUGUUUUUUUUUUUCAAUUAGUUUUAUGGUAAAUAAUUUGUUCUGUUUGAAUAAUAUCAUAAAAUUAGUAACUGUUAUCAGUUUUUCUGUUUUGGUGUUCAUGUUUUUUUAACAUUAUUAUUUAAAAAAAUAUUUUUUAUAUAUUUUAAAUGUGUUUAAUGUAAUGAUUGUAAAUGAAAAUAAUAAUCUGUUGUUGUUGUUAAUGUUGUUUAUAUUGUUGUUAAUGUUGUUUGUUUGAGAGUAUUACUUUAUCAUAGACUUUAAAUCAUACAUAUAAUGAUUUUGAAUUACUUCUUUACUUUUUAUUUGGUUUAGUUAUUGCUUAAAAAUGUUUAACACCUUAAAGUUUCGACAAGCGACGGAGUUCGGAAAAAGUUUUUUGUUGCUGAUAAUUGUUGACAUUUGUUGGUUUCAAAGCCAAAAGGGUUCAAACAACUUUGGACUCUUGAAAUUCCUGUCACUUUAAAGUCUGAGCAACAAGGGAGUUCUAAUUUAAUAGGUUACUAACUUUAUGAGCUUGCUUUGAGUUUUAAACAUUUGUUUGUAUAACUCUGAUUCCAAGUUAUUUUGUCAUAUUUUUAUUAUAGUUUAUAAAUUUUUAAUUAAAAAAUGAAGCAUGUUAUAUUUAGUAAAUUCAAUGUUUUAUAUAUUUUUUUAAUUGCGAUUUUGCGCCCCAACCUUGUGCAGAUACGAGAACACUUCGUGUGUGUUUUUCUUUUGUGUAUAUCAUGCCUGUUCUUCGUCAAAACAUUUCUGUUGCCCUACAAAAAGCAAAGAACAAGGCUUCAUUAGAGUCGUUUGCAGAUUUGCAUUCUCUUGUAAGAAUCUUGUAAGAAAGACAAAUCAUCUAAGUAAAAUCGUUAUGUGUUGCCCAAACGUGACGUCACGAGCUAAAAGAUGUUGGCUUCAAAAUAUUCAACAGUUUGUAAAUUCGAAGGUAACUACCAUCUUAGGAUGUAAUAUUUUGGGGUGUAUUGCACUUUGAUGGUCAGUCACUUGUUUGGGAUCAAAUAAUCAGCUCAUAAUUUCAAGUCACUUUAGGUUUGAAUAGUAGUUUAUUUUUGGAAGAACC